UACGUAGGGUGCGAGCGUUAAUCGGAAUUACUGGGCGUAAAGCGUGCGCAGGCGGUUAUGUAAGACAGUUGUGAAAUCCCCGGGCUUAACCUGGGAAUGGCAUUUGGGACUGCAAGGCUGGAGUGUGGCAGAGGAGACUGGAAUUCCCGGUGUAGCAGUGAAAUGCGUAGAUAUCGGGAGGAAUACCGAUGGCGAAGGCAGGUCUCUGGGCUGACACUGACGCUCAUGCACGAAAGCGUGGGGAGCAAACAGG
rnacentral:rRNA from 1 species